UACGUAGGGUGCAAGCGUUGUCCGGAAUCAUUGGGCGUAAAGAGCUCGUAGGCGGUCUGUCGCCUCUGCUGUGAAAACCUGGGGCUUAACCCUGGGCUUGCAGUGGGUACGGGCAGACUAGAGUGCGGUAGGGGAGACUGGAAUUCCUGGUGUAGCGGUGAAAUGCGCAGAUAUCAGGAGGAACACCGGUGGCGAAGGCGGGUCUCUGGGCCGUAACUGACGCUGAGGAGCGAAAGCAUGGGUAGCGAACAGG
rnacentral:rRNA from 1 species